AUUGAAGAGUUUGAUCAUGGCUCAGAUUGAACGCUGGCGGCAGGCCUAACACAUGCAAGUCGAGCGGUAGCACAGAGAGCUUGCUCUCGGGUGACGAGCGGCGGACGGGUGAGUAAUGUCUGGGAAACUGCCUGAUGGAGGGGGAUAACUACUGGAAACGGUAGCUAAUACCGCAUAACGUCGCAAGACCAAAGUGGGGGACCUUCGGGCCUCAUGCCAUCAGAUGUGCCCAGAUGGGAUUAGCUAGUAGGUGGGGUAAUGGCUCACCUAGGCGACGAUCCCUAGCUGGUCUGAGAGGAUGACCAGCCACACUGGAACUGAGACACGGUCCAGACUCCUACGGGAGGCAGCAGUGGGGAAUAUUGCACAAUGGGCGCAAGCCUGAUGCAGCCAUGCCGCGUGUGUGAAGAAGGCCUUCGGGUUGUAAAGCACUUUCAGCGGGGAGGAAGGCGUUAAGGUUAAUAACCUUGGCGAUUGACGUUACCCGCAGAAGAAGCACCGGCUAACUCCGUGCCAGCAGCCGCGGUAAUACGGAGGGUGCAAGCGUUAAUCGGAAUUACUGGGCGUAAAGCGCACGCAGGCGGUCUGUCAAGUCGGAUGUGAAAUCCCCGGGCUCAACCUGGGAACUGCAUUCGAAACUGGCAGGCUAGAGUCUUGUAGAGGGGGGUAGAAUUCCAGGUGUAGCGGUGAAAUGCGUAGAGAUCUGGAGGAAUACCGGUGGCGAAGGCGGCCCCCUGGACAAAGACUGACGCUCAGGUGCGAAAGCGUGGGGAGCAAACAGGAUUAGAUACCCUGGUAGUCCACGCCGUAAACGAUGUCGAUUUGGAGGUUGUGCCCUUGAGGCGUGGCUUCCGGAGCUAACGCGUUAAAUCGACCGCCUGGGGAGUACGGCCGCAAGGUUAAAACUCAAAUGAAUUGACGGGGGCCCGCACAAGCGGUGGAGCAUGUGGUUUAAUUCGAUGCAACGCGAAGAACCUUACCUGGUCUUGACAUCCACAGAACUUUCCAGAGAUGGAUUGGUGCCUUCGGGAACUGUGAGACAGGUGCUGCAUGGCUGUCGUCAGCUCGUGUUGUGAAAUGUUGGGUUAAGUCCCGCAACGAGCGCAACCCUUAUCCUUUGUUGCCAGCG
rnacentral:rRNA from 1 species